GUUUGAUCCUGGCUCAGAUUGAACGCUGGCGGCGUGCUUAACACAUGCAAGUCGUGCGAGAAAGGGGGCUUCGGUCCCUGAGUAGAGCGGCGCACGGGUGAGUAACGCGUGGAUUAUCUCCCUCAUUGUUUGGGAUAACGGCGGGAAACUGCCGCUAAUACCGGAUACGCUCCAAUUUCGGUUGGGGGAAAGGCGGCCUCUGCUUGCAAGCUGUCGCAAUGAGAUGAGUCCGCGUCCCAUUAGCUUGUUGGUGGGGUAAUGGCCCACCAAGGCAACGAUGGGUAGCUGGUCUGAGAGGAUGAUCAGCCACACUGGAACUGAAACACGGUCCAGACUCCUACGGGAGGCAGCAGUGGGGAAUAUUGCGCAAUGGGGGAAACCCUGACGCAGCGACGCCGUGUGAGGGAAGAAGGCUUUCGGGUCGUAAACCUCUGUCAGGAAGGAAGAACCUCUCAAGGCUGAACAAGCCUUGGGACUGACGGUACUUCCAGAGGAAGCACCGGCUAACUCCGUGCCAGCAGCCGCGGUAAUACGGAGGGUGCAAGCGUUAAUCGGAAUCACUGGGCGUAAAGCGCGCGUAGGCCGUCUUUUAAGUCGGACGUGAAAGCCCUCGGCUCAACCGGGGAACUGCGUUCGAUACUGGGAGACUUGAGUCCUGGAGAGGGUGGCGGAAUUCCGGGUGUAGGAGUGAAAUCCGUAGAUAUCCGGAGGAACACCGGUGGCGAAGGCGGCCACCUGGACAGGUACUGACGCUGAGGCGCGAAAGCGUGGGGAGCAAACAGGAUUAGAUACCCUGUAGUCCACGCUGUAAACGAUGGAUGCUAGGUGUCGGGGAGCGAUCUUCGGUGCCGCAGUUAACGCAUUAAGCAUCCCGCCUGGGGAGUACGGUCGCAAGGCUGAAACUCAAGGAAUUGACGGGGGCCCGCAC
rnacentral:rRNA from 1 species